CAGAUGGUUAUUGAGGACGGAGCGCCUCCAGCACGGUCACAGUUAGGUCCUUGCGUCCCGGUGCUCAUUCACGAGUCCACGGCGGAUCAUGCUGGCCAACACGGUCACGGUCCCGGCAGUUCCUGCAGUCAGGGACAUCUCUGAGAAUACAGCAGUCUGGCGCCAGGCAAUGCGUCCAGAGAGGGGGUUUUGGGGUGGGGCAUGUCCUCCAGGGAUGGAGGGAUGGGGUGUUCCGGCCUUCGCUCUGUCUCCUCCACUGAACAGCUCUCUCCUGACACCACGGCUCAGCUGGGGCCAUUCGAUGGCAGAGUGCAGCAGGUUCGUCAGAACAAACUUUUCAAGUUCAACACAGUUUGGGGAAAGGUAAACAGGCGAACUUCGCUUAGAGCGAAGCCUGGCCUGCCCCAGCUCCUUGCACAGAUCACACCAGCAGACCCCCUUGGCACAGUUCAGUCCUAAGGUCCUGGGUUGGGUGUCCAGUAGCAGGCAGCAGCGGCUCCAGGUUGCGUUCCUUUAGCGCCCCUGCAGGCAUGCUCUGGCCUGGAGAACUCCCCAACACCGACCAGCCUUUCUGCCUGCGUGUCACAGCCCCAACCUCAGUCCACGGGCUCGUCCCCAGCCCAGGCACCUCCUCCUGUCACCUAGCCCCCCCCCCUCCCCCGCCCACCAAGCGAGCUGUGACAGGAAAUCAGGGGCUGGAAUGCGGCUGCGAGGCCCUUUGCAAAGCGCCUGGCCAGCACUGCUUGGUGAGCACCAGGACUCAGGCUGCCCUGGCAUCUGUAAUUGCCACAGCCGGGCCUGGGGGCACAGCCCUGCCCCACGCCAAGGUCCCAGGUGAGGCAGGCCCUGGGCAAGGGUUGAUGAGCUGCUGGUGGCGAGAGAAACCCCCCAUCUGCCAGUGAGCAGCUGCCUCUCUCUCUCCUGUGGGAGGCCAGAGAAAGCACUGUCCCCUUCCCAAUGCCCCCGGGGCUGAGCAGCCAGGGCAGCACUGCAUUCUUCUUCCACCCGCUUGCCUCACUAGCAAAAACAAACAACUGGCUUGUGUCUGGCUGCCUCCCUCUCCAGCCUCCAUCCAAUCCCCCCACAGGGCCCUUCGCACCCUGGGCUCCCACAGAUGCUGGCCCUGCAUGGGAAAGGCCUGGGAGUACAGCAAAGUCCCUAGAGAGGGCAACAUUGCGCCUUCCUGAAGGUGCUGGGUACCUGCCUGGCCACAGGGCUCCCUGGGCUGUUCUGCAGAGGCCUGGCCUAGCUGCAGGAGCUUGGAGCUGAGUACAGCUCCUUCAGCCUCUGCCCCCUGCAAUGCCCUGCUAGGGCUCUGACUCAGGCAGCUCCGGGGUCCCCUCUGGGCCACACUUGCCCAGCAGCACCAGGAAGCUGCACCAAUGCCUGGUGUCUGGGAUCCUUUCCACUCUGGAGAGGAUGCUGCCGACAAGGCUCAAUGAGGCAGAUGAUGGGGCAAUGGGGUCAGCUCAAGGGCUCCCCAUCCAUGCUGAUGGGGCAACAAGCUCUCGCAAAGCUGCUCAAGCAACCACUAUUGGCAGAUCAGUGUCAGGGCCUUGUUAACUGUUGCCCAGCCCAGCUGCCUCUGCCUUCUGGGCACAGGAAUAAUUCAUCUUCUCCUGGGUCCCUCUGGCCCUGUAUGACGGUCCCUGGGAAAGUGAGCACCUCAGAGCCCCGCCCCCCAAGACCCCAAAGCACGGCCUGUCAUGAGCUCAGGGUGACGCAAUGGAGAUUUUUAUUGUAAUGUCAAAGCCUUAAGAGCAGGUUACAAGCAUGACAAGAGGCAGGGAGUGUGUGGGGCAGGAUAUAAGGGUGUGCAUCUGGUAUGGUGGAGCAGAGCAGGGGGCUCAGGAGGUAUAUGGGGCAGAGGAGCAGAGGGGUUGUGGGGCAGAGGAGCAGAACAGGGGGCUCGGGAGGUAUAUGGGGCGGAGGAGCAGAGGAGGGGGCUCAGGAGGUAUAUGAGGCAGAGGAGCAGAGCAGGGGGCUCAGGAGGUAUAUGGGGCAGAGGGGUUGUGGGGCAGAGGAGCAGAGCAAGGGGCUCAGGAGGUAUAUGGGGCAGAGGAGCAGAGCAGGGGGCUCGGGAGGUAUAUGGGACAGAGGGUGUGUGGGGCAGCGGAGCAGAGCAGGAGGCUCGGGAAGUAUAUGAGGCAGUGGAGCAGAGCAGGGGGCUCAGGAGGUAUAUGGGGCAGAGAAGCAGAGAGGUUGUGGGGCAGAGGAGCAGAGCAAGGGGCUCAGGAGGUAUAUGGGGCAGAGGAGCAGAGCAGGGGGCUCGGGAGGUAUAUGGGGCAGGGAAUGUGUGGAGCAGAGUGACAGAAGCAAUGAAGGAAGAAGGCAGCCUGAGUAUUUAAUGCUUUUCCUUAGCAGCAAUGGAUCCUGAGCAACAGACAACCCUACAGCUUGACGUGACGUUUUCAGAGCAGGACCUGCUGCCCCCAUGCUAGAGAGGGGAUCAGAGCAUCUUCAAAAGGGGAAAAGGAGCCAAAUAUCCGUUAUUUCCAGCCAGGCUCCAGUGUUGGGAAGAGACGGGGCUGCCACAGCCCUGCUCCCGUGGGACACAACUAGGGCUCCAAGCAGCUGCCAGCAAAGUGGACAGAUGAAGGAAUCCAGCCAGGCGGGGAGGAACAGCCAAGGUGUGAGCGAAAUGGCCAGAGAGGGCAGGACAAACCCUGAGUUCCACGUUCACAGUGUCUCAGGGGGCGCAGCCAGGGCUCCAGCAGGAACACAAGCCCCUCUGGAAACCGCCAGCAGGAACUGCCACAAAGCCAGGUCCCUCCCGCUUUCCGUAGCCAGUUAACAGACAGGAGGCUCCCAUUCCUCUGGCUGGCUCAGAGCACAGCUCCAAGGAGAACACUGCCCUUCAGUGGGAGCUCUCUCCAAUCAAGGAUGUGACAAGCAAGAGGCUGAGACUGGCAAUAGGGCUAGCCUGAAGCUUCCCCAGGGACCAGUGCCCUCCUGCUCUGCCCCCAC